ACUGUUUGGUGGUGGCACUCCCCUUAACGCGGGUGGUGUGAAGCGCUGUAUACAUAAAUCAGCAGAAUUCAACAAGAAGCCCGCAUCAUGCGGGCUUCUUUGU
rfam:Shewanella sp. YQH10 contig3, whole genome shotgun sequence.